rnacentral:rRNA from 1 species
AUGAACGCUGGCGGCGUGCCUAAUACAUGCAAGUCGAGCGAACAGACGAGGAGCUUGCUCCUCUGACGUUAGCGGCGGACGGGUGAGUAACACGUGGAUAACCUACCUAUAAGACUGGGAUAACUUCGGGAAACCGGAGCUAAUACCGGAUAAUAUAUUGAACCGCAUGGUUCAAUAGUGAAAGACGGUUUUGCUGUCACUUAUAGAUGGAUCCGCGCCGCAUUAGCUAGUUGGUAAGGUAACGGCUUACCAAGGCGACGAUGCGUAGCCGACCUGAGAGGGUGAUCGGCCACACUGGAACUGAGACACGGUCCAGACUCCUACGGGAGGCAGCAGUAGGGAAUCUUCCGCAAUGGGCGAAAGCCUGACGGAGCAACGCCGCGUGAGUGAUGAAGGUCUUCGGAUCGUAAAACUCUGUUAUUAGGGAAGAACAAAUGUGUAAGUAAUUAUGCACGUCUUGACGGUACCUAAUCAGAAAGCCACGGCUAACUACGUG